rfam:Equus caballus chromosome 2, whole genome shotgun sequence.
AGUGGGGUUGGAGUCAAAAGUAGUGUUGUCAACACUUUAUACACCUUAAACUUACACAGUAUGUCAAUUAUAUCCCAGUAUAGCUGAGGAAAAAAAGAAAAACUAGUGUCAAUGCCUUUAACUCCUCUACAAUCAAAAGUUGACUUUUGCAUGACAGUGUGUAUGGAUAUAUGUGUACUCCAUAAGGACUCGAUGU